rnacentral:rRNA from 1 species
UGCAAGUCGAGGGGUAGAGUUCUUCGGAGCUUGAGACCGGCGCACGGGUGCGUAACGCGUAUGCAAUCUACCUUUUACAGAGGGAUAGCCCAGAGAAAUUUGGAUUAAUACCUCAUAGUAUAAUUGAAUGGCAUCAUUUAAUUAUUAAAGUCACAGCGGUAAAAGAUGAGCAUGCGUCCCAUUAGCUAGUUGGUAAGGUAACGGCUUACCAAGGCUACGAUGGGUAGGGGUCCUGAGAGGGAGAUCCCCCACACUGGUACUGAGACACGGACCAGACUCCUACGGGAGGCAGCAGUGAGGAAUAUUGGACAAUGGGCGCAAGCCUGAUCCAGCCAUGCCGCGUGCAGGAUGACGGUCCUAUGGAUUGUAAACUGCUUUUAUACGAGAAGAAACACUCCUUCGUGAAGGAGCUUGACGGUAUCGUAAGAAUAAGGAUCGGCUAACUCCGUGCCAGCAGCCGCGGUAAUACGGAGGAUCCAAGCGUUAUCCGGAAUCAUUGGGUUUAAAGGGUCCGUAGGCGGUUUAAUAAGUCAGUGGUGAAAGCCCAUCGCUCAACGGUGGAACGGCCAUUGAUACUGUUAGACUUGAAUUAUUAGGAAGUAACUAGAAUAUGUAGUGUAGCGGUGAAAUGCUUAGAGAUUACAUGGAAUACCAAUUGCGAAGGCAGGUUACUACUAAUGGAUUGACGCUGAUGGACGAAAGCGUGGGUAGCGAACAGGAUUAGAUACCCUGGUAGUCCACGCCGUAAACGAUGGAUACUAGCUGUUGGAAGCAAUUUCAGUGGCUAAGCGAAAGUGAUAAGUAUCCCACCUGGGGAGUACGUUCGCAAGAAUGAAACUCAAAGGAAUUGACGGGGGCCCGCACAAGCGGUGGAGCAUGUGGUUUAAUUCGAUGAUACGCGGGGAACCUUACCAAGGCUUAAAU